CCAGCUUCCUUCAAAAUGUAUACUAUUUAUGAAAUCCUGUGCAAGCUCAGCUUGGAGGGUGAUCACUCUACACCCUCAAGUGCAUAUGGGUCAGUCAAAGCCUAAACCAACUUUGAUGCUGAGGGGGAUGCUUUGAACAUUGAAAGGACCAUCAGCACAAAAGGUGUGGGUGAGUUCACCAUUGUCAACAUUUUGACCAACAGCAGGAAUGCUCAGAGACAGGAUAUUACCUUUGCCUAGCAGAGAAGGACCAAAAAGGAACUUGCAUCAGCACUGAAGUCAGCCUUACUGGCCACCUGGAGACAGUCAUUUUGGGCCUAUUGAAGACACCUGCUCAGUAUGAUGCUUCUGAGCUAAAACCUUCCAUGAAGGGGCUGGGAACCGAGGAGGACUCCCUGGUUGAGAUCAUCUGCUCAACAACCAACCAGGAGCUCCAGGAAAUUAACAGAAUCUACAAAGAAAUGUACAAAACUGAUCUGGAGAAGGACAUUAUUUCGGACACAUAUGGAGACUUCCGCAAGCUGAUGUUUGCCCUGGCAAAGGUUAGAAGACCAGAGGAUGGCUCUGUCAUGGAUUAUGAACUGAUUGACCAAGAUGCCUGGGAUUUCUAUGACGCUGGAGUGAAGAGGAAAAGAACUGAUGUUCCCAAGUGGAUCAGCAUCAUGACUGAGCAGAGCAUGUCCCACCUCCAGAAAGUAUUUGACAGGUACAAGAGCUACAGCCCAUCAAGAGAGAGCAUCAAGAAAGAGGUUAAAGGAGACCUGGGAAAUGCUUUCCUGAACCUGGUCCAGUGCAUUCAGAACAAUCCCCUGUAUUUUGCUGAUUGGCUGUACUACUCCACGAAGGGCAAGGGGACUCGAGAUAGGGUCCUGAUCAGAAUCAUCAUCUCCCGCAGUGAAGUGGACAUGUUGAAAAUUAGGUCUGAAUUCAAGAGAAAGUACGGCAAGUCCCCAUACUAUUACAUCCAGCAAGACACUAAGGGCGACUGCCCAGAAAUCGCUGCUGUACCUGUGUGGUGGAGAUGACUAA